rnacentral:rRNA from 1 species
ACUCCUACGGGAGGCAGCAGUAGGGAAUAUUGGACAAUGGGCGAAAGCCUGAUCCAGCAAUGCCGCGUGAGUGAUGAAGGCCUUAGGGUUGUAAAGCUCUUUUACCCGGGAUGAUAAUGACAGUACCGGGAGAAUAAGCUCCGGCUAACUCCGUGCCAGCAGCCGCGGUAAUACGGAGGGAGCUAGCGUUGUUCGGAAUUACUGGGCGUAAAGCGCACGUAGGCGGCUAUUCAAGUCAGAGGUGAAAGCCCGGGGCUCAACCCCGGAACUGCCUUGAAACUAGAUAGCUUGAAUCCAGGAGAGGUGAGUGGAAUUCCGAGUGUAGAGGUGAAAUUCGUAGAUAUUCGGAAGAACACCAGUGGCGAAGGCGGCUCACUGGACUGGUAUUGACGCUGAGGUGCGAAAGCGUGGGAGCAAACAGGAUUAGAUACCCUGGUAGCGACUGA